rnacentral:lncRNA from 1 species
AGAUUUUAAAUUGUUGUGUUAUCAUAAAAUUUUUGUAAAAGGUAAGGUUUUUUAAAUUGUAUUAUGUAUUUCAGUUUCUUAUUUUUAAAACCUUUUUAGAUGAUGAACCUCAGUUCAAGUGAUGAAGAUUUGGAAGAGAUUGUAGGACUUUUAAAUGUUCCAAAAAA